rnacentral:lncRNA from 1 species
AUUUUUCAUGCCAAUCGCCAUAUAAAAAUCAAAUUUUUUAUCAACAAAAACCUACAACUAACUUGCAUUCAUUUUCAGACAUGAUUUUCAAAAUAGUAACGGCUGUUUCACAAUUUUUUAGUCAGGUCAAAUUUACAAAUAAUGUUAUUUUCUCCCCCGGAAUCCUAGAAUACUAGAGGGAGAGAUGGGUUUUUUAUUCCAAGAGUUUGGGUAUUAUUAGAAAUCUGUCAAUUUUUUUUUAAUCAGAUUACAUUGAACCAAACGUUGAAAUCAAAUACCCAACAGUAAAAUUUCGAGGAAAAAUGUGUGGAUUCCUCCAAACCAAAUGCCCCUUUAGAAAAUUAUCCAUUUGUAAUUUUUAAAAAUUUCAUCUCUAGACAAUUACCAUUUAUUUUUUAAGAUUUUGUUAAAGUUUUAUUUUCCUCUUAAUUUAUUUCUAUUUGUUUUUAUUAAUCAAAUUAAUUAUUUUAUCUAAUUCUAAAAAGUCCUACCCUAAGUAAACUAUGAUAAAAAUAACAUAAAAUAAACCAAUUAAAACACAAUAAACAAAAAAGAAAAGACAAGCUGCAGUACAGAUUGGAUCAGGUUGGUGCUUGGAAAAUUGGGAAUCAUCUCCAAAAUCCAUCGAGAACUUUAGCACUUGCUGUAAAAUGUUACUAUAAUCUAAAAAUCUCAUCAAAGUCUAUGAAUCUCAUUGGAAAAUCGUCGAGAACUUGAAUAAGUCUAAAAUUUGAACUUGAAUUGCCUAAAACUUUUUUGCUCUCAAAUUCUCC